rnacentral:misc_RNA from 1 species
GAUGAAGAACGUAGCGAAAUGCGAUAAGUAAUGUGAAUUGCAGAAUUCAGUGAAUCAUCGAAUCUUUGAACGCACCUUGCGCCCUUUGGCUAUUCUGAAGGGCAUGCCUGUUUGAGUAUCGUGAACACCUCAACUCUCAUGGUCUGCCAUGAUGAGCUUGGACUUUGGGGGUCUUGCUAGCCUACCGUCAGCUCCUCUCAAAUGAAUCAGCUUACCAGUGUUUGGUGGCACCACGGGUGUGAUAACUAUCUACGCUUGUGGUUUUCUGCCGGGUAACCUCCAGUGAUGGAGGUUCGCUGGAGCUCACAAAUGUCUCUCCUCAGCGAGGACAGCUUUUUGAACGUUUGAUCUCAAAUCAGGUAGGACUACCCGCUGAACUUAAGCAUAUCAAUAAGCGGAGGA